GUUUUUGUAGUUGAACUACAACAGUGGUUUUUCAUGCCACUAGUCCUGGUUAAACCCCAGGCAAGAAUC
rnacentral:tRNA from 1 species